rnacentral:rRNA from 1 species
AAGAGAGAGACAUGCGCGCAUAUCAAUAAGCGGAGGAAAAGAAACUAACUAGGAUUCCCUCAGUAACGGCGAGUGAAGCGGGAAGAGCUCAAAUUUGAAAUCUUCAAGGUUCUACCUUGACGAAUUGUAGUUUAAAGAAGUGUUUUCUGUUGGAGUUUUGGUAAAAGUUCUUUGGAAUAGGACAUCAUAGAGGGUGAGAAUCCCGUAUUUGACCAUUAUUUCCAGCUUUGUGAUACACUUUCAAAGAGUCGGAUUGUUUGGGAAUGCAGUCCAAAAUGGGUGGUAAAUUUCAUCUAAAGCUAAAUAUUGGCGAGAGACCGAUAGCGAACAAGUACCGUGAGGGAAAGAUGAAAAGAACUUUGAAAAGAGAGUUAAACAGUACGUGAAAUUGUCAAAAGGGAAGCGUUUGACACCAGUGUUGUUUUUCUGAAAAUCAAUUAAAGAACUGUUUAUGCUAAGUUGUUUAGACUUUAUCAGCUAACUGUUUAGUUUUGAGCUUUUCUUUAAUGCACUUUUCAGUUAACAAGUCAACAUCAAUUUCUUUUGCUGUAAAAAAGCUUGAGGAAGGUGGCUUGAGAUUCGUCUUAAGUGUUUAUAGCCUCUUGCCUAUGCAGUCGGAGAGAUUGAGGUCUGCAGCGUAGAUCCUUCGGGGCUAAAUGCAUUUGUGCUAAGUUAUAGCAUUUAUAGACAACUUGUUGACUAUGAUUAGUCAUGUAGCUUACUCGCUUAUGUUAUUUUACCUACGCUUAGGAUGUUGAUGUGAUACUGCGAGCA